AAUCAACGCUGGCGGCGUGCCUCAGACAUGCAAGUCGAACGAUUAAAGCUCUCUUCGGAGAGUGCAUAAAGUGGCGCACGGGUGAGUAACACGUAAGUAAUCUACCUUCGAGUGGGGAAUAACGUCCGGAAACGGACGCUAAUACCGCAUAAUGCAGCGGCAUCGCAAGAUGACAGUUGUUAAAGAUUUAUCGCUUGGAGAGGAGCUUGCGGCAGAUUAGCUAGUUGGUAAGGUAAUGGCUUACCAAGGCUACGAUCUGUAACCGGUCUAAGAGGACGGUCGGUCACACUGACACUGAAUAACGGGUCAGACUCCUACGGGAGGCAGCAGGUCGGGUAAUUUUGGGCAAGUGGGCGAAAGCCUGACCCAGCAACGCCGCGUGAAGGAUGAAGUA
rnacentral:rRNA from 1 species